GGCAAACGGGUGCGGAACACGUACACAACCUUCCAUUAAGUGGGGAAUAGCCCAGGGAAACUUGGAUUAAUACCCCAUAAAAUAUUGAAAGUGGCAUCACUUUUAUAUUAAAGCUUCGGCGCUUAACGAUGGGUGUGCGGCUGAUUAGGUAGUUGGCGGGGUAACGGCCCACCAAGCCUACGAUCAGUAACUGGUGUGAGAGCACGACCAGUCACACGGGCACUGAGACACGGGCCCGACUCCUACGGGAGGCAGCAGUAAGGAAUAUUGGGCAAUGGACGCAAGUCUGACCCAGCCAUGCCGCGUGGAGGAUGAAGGUCCUCUGGAUUGUAAACUUCUUUUAUCUGGGAAGAAAUCCAUAAAUUCUUUUAUGGUUGACGGUACCAGAUGAAUAAGCACCGGCUAACUCCGUGCCAGCAGCCGCGGUAAUACGGAGGGUGCAAGCGUUAUCCGGAUUCACUGGGUUUAAAGGGUGCGUAGGCGGGCAGGUAAGUCAGUGGUGAAAUCCCCGAGCUUAACUCGGGAACUGCCAUUGAUACUAUUUGUCUUGAAUACCGUGGAGGUGAGCGGAAUAUGUCAUGUAGCGGUGAAAUGCUUAGAUAUGACAUAGAACACCCAUUGCGAAGGCAGCUCACUACGCGGUCACUGACGCUGAGGCACGAAAGCGUGGGGAUCAAACAGGAUUAGAUACCCUGGUAGUCC
rnacentral:rRNA from 1 species